rnacentral:rRNA from 1 species
AUUGAACGCUGGCGGCAGGCCUAACACAUGCAAGUCGAACGAGUGGCGGACGGGUGAGUAAUGUCUGGGAAACUGCCCGAUGGAGGGGGAUAACUACUGGAAACGGUAGCUAAUACCGCAUACCAUCGGAUGUGCCCAGAUGGGAUUAGCUAGUGGGUGGGGUAACGGCUCACCUAGGCGACGAUCCCUAGCUGGUCUGAGAGGUUGACCAGCCACCCUUGAACUGGGACACGGUCCAGACUCCUACGGGAGGCAGCAGUGGGAAAUAUUGCACAAGGGGCGCAAGCCUGAUGCAGCCAUGCCGCGUGUGUGAAGAAGGCCUUCGGGUUGUAAAGCACUUUCAGCGGGGAGGCGUUACUCGCAGAAGAAGCACCGGCUAACUCCGUGCCAGCCGCCGCGGUAAUUC